rnacentral:rRNA from 1 species
AUUGAACGCUGGCGGCAGGCCUAACACAUGCAAGUCGAGCGAGCGGCGGACGGGUGAGUAAUGUCUGGGAAACUGCCUGAUGGAGGGGGAUAAGUACUGGAAACGGUAGCUAAUACCGCAUACUACCAGAUGUGCCCAGAUGGGAUUAGCUAGUAGGUGGGGUAAUGGCUCACCUAGGCGACGAUCCCUAGCUGGUCUGAGAGGAUGACCAGCCACACGGGAACGGAGACACGGUCCAGACUCCUACGGGAGGCAGCAGUGGGGAAUCUUGCACAAUGGGCGAAAGCCUGAGGCAGCAAGGCCGCGUGUGUGAAGAAGGCCUUCGGGUUGUAAAGCACUUUCAGCGGGGAGGCGUUACUCGCAGAGAAAGCACCGGCUAACUACGUGCCAGCAGCCGCGGUAAUAC